rnacentral:rRNA from 1 species
GGGUUGUGAGGUUAAGCGACUAAGCGUACACGGUGGAUGCCCUGGCAGUCAGAGGCGAUGAAGGACGUGCUAAUCUGCGAAAAGCGUCGGUAAGGUGAUAUGAACCGUUAUAACCGGCGAUGUCCGAAUGGGGAAACCCAGUGCAAUUCGUUGCACUAUCGUUAACUGAAUACAUAGGUUAACGAGGCGAACCGGGGGAACUGAAACAUCUAAGUACCCCGAGGAAAAGAAAUCAACCGAGAUUCCCCCAGUAGCGGCGAGCGAACGGGGAGCAGCCCAGAGUCUGAAUCAGCUUGUGUGUUAGUGGAACGGUCUGGAAAGUCCGACGGUACAGGGUGAUAGUCCCGUACACCAAAAUGCACAGGUUGUGAACUCGAAGAGUAGGGCGGGACACGUGGUAUCCUGUCUGAAUAUGGGGGGACCAUCCUCCAAGGCUAAAUACUCCUGACUGACCGAUAGUGAACCAGUACCGUGAGGGAAAGGCGAAAAGAACCCCGGCGAGGGGAGUGAAAAAGAACCUGAAACCGUGUACGUACAAGCAGUGGGAGCACCUUCGGGUGUGACUGCGUACCUUUUGUAUAAUGGGUCAGCGACUUAUAUUCUGUAGCAAGGUUAACCGUAUAGGGGAGCCGCAGGGAAACCGAGUCUUAACUGGGCGUUAAGUUGCAGGGUAUAGACCCGAAACCCGGUGAUCUAGCCAUGGGCAGGUUGAAGGUUGGGUAACACUAACUGGAGGACCGAACCGACUAAUGUUGAAAAAUUAGCGGAUGACUUGUGGCUGGGGGUGAAAGGCCAAUCAAACCGGGAGAUAGCUGGUUCUCCCGAAAGCUAUUUAGGUAGCGCCUCGUGAAUUCAUCUUCGGGGGUAGAGCACUGUUUCGGCUAGGGGGUCAUCCCGACUUACCAACCCGAUGCAAACUACGAAUACCGAAGAAUGUUAUCACGGGAGACACACGGCGGGUGCUAACGUCCGUCGUGAAGAGGGAAACAACCCAGACCGCCAGCUAAGGUCCCAAAGUCAUGGUUAAGUGGGAAACGAUGUGGGAAGGCACAGACAGCCAGGAUGUUGGCUUAGAAGCAGCCAUCAUUUAAAGAAAGCGUAAUAGCUCACUGGUCGAGUCGGCCUGCGCGGAAGAUGUAACGGGGCUAAACCAUGCACCGAAGCUGCGGCAGCGACACUAUGUGUUGUUGGGUAGGGGAGCGUUCUGUAAGCCUGCGAAGGUGGCCUGUGAGGGUUGCUGGAGGUAUCAGAAGUGCGAAUGCUGACAUAAGUAACGAUAAAGCGGGUGAAAAGCCCGCUCGCCGGAAGACCAAGGGUUCCUGUCCAACGUUAAUCGGGGCAGGGUGAGUCGACCCUAAGGCGAGGCCGAAAGGCGUAGUCGAUGGGAAACAGGUUAAUAUUCCUGUACUUGGUGUUACUGCGAAGGGGACGGAGAAGGCUAUGUUAGCCGGGCGACGGUUGUCCCGGUUUAAGCAUGUAGGCGGAGGUUCCGGUAAAUCCGGUACCUUUUAACGCUGAGGUGUGAUGACGAGGCACUACGGUGCUGAAGUAACAAAUGCCCUGCUUCCAGGAAAAGCCUCUAAGCAUCAGGUAACAUUAAAUCGUACCCCAAACCGACACAGGUGGUCAGGUAGAGAAUACCAAGGCGCUUGAGAGAACUCGGGUGAAGGAACUAGGCAAAAUGGUGCCGUAACUUCGGGAGAAGGCACGCUGGUGUGUAGGUGAAGUCCCUGCGGAUGGAGCUGAGACCAGUCGAAGAUACCAGCUGGCUGCAACUGUUUAUUAAAAACACAGCACUGUGCAAACACGAAAGUGGACGUAUACGGUGUGACGCCUGCCCGGUGCCGGAAGGUUAAUUGAUGGGGUUAUCCGUAAGGAGAAGCUCUUGAUCGAAGCCCCGGUAAACGGCGGCCGUAACUAUAACGGUCCUAAGGUAGCGAAAUUCCUUGUCGGGUAAGUUCCGACCUGCACGAAUGGCGUAAUGAUGGCCAGGCUGUCUCCACCCGAGACUCAGUGAAAUUGAACUCGCUGUGAAGAUGCAGUGUACCCGCGGCAAGACGGAAAGACCCCGUGAACCUUUACUAUAGCUUGACACUGAACAUUGAGCCUUGAUGUGUAGGAUAGGUGGGAGGCUUUGAAGCGUGGACGCCAGUCUGCGUGGAGCCAACCUUGAAAUACCACCCUUUAAUGUUUGAUGUUCUAACGUUGGCCCCUUAUCGGGGUUGCGGACAGUGUCUGGUGGGUAGUUUGACUGGGGCGGUCUCCUCCCAAAGAGUAACGGAGGAGCACGAAGGUUAGCUAAUCCUGGUCGGACAUCAGGAGGUUAGUGCAAUGGCAUAAGCUAGCUUGACUGCGAGCGUGACGGCGCGAGCAGGUGCGAAAGCAGGUCAUAGUGAUCCGGUGGUUCUGAAUGGAAGGGCCAUCGCUCAACGGAUAAAAGGUACUCCGGGGAUAACAGGCUGAUACCGCCCAAGAGUUCAUAUCGACGGCGGUGUUUGGCACCUCGAUGUCGGCUCAUCACAUCCUUGGGGCUGAAGUAGGUCCCAAGGGUAUGGCUGUUCGCCAUUUAAAGUGGUACGCGAGCUGGGUUUAGAACGUCGUGAGACAGUUCGGUCCCUAUCUGCCGUGGGCGCUGGAGAAUUGAGGGGGGCUGCUCCUAGUACGAGAGGACCGGAGUGGACGCAUCACUGGUGUUCGGGUUGUCAUGCCAAUGGCACUGCCCGGUAGCUAAAUGCGGAAGAGAUAAGUGCUGAAAGCAUCUAAGCACGAAACUUGCCCCGAGAUGAGUUCUCCCCUGAGACUUUAAGUCUCCUGAAGGAACGUUGAAGACGACGACGUUGAUAGGCCGGGUGUGUAAGCGCAGCGAUGCGUUGAGCUAACCGGUACUAAUGAACCGUGAGGCUUAACCUUACAACGCCGAAGCUGUU